rnacentral:lncRNA from 1 species
GGGGGUAACACUAGGUUUGCCCUCCUUCCGCAGCGGCAGCAGCCAUGGCCAAGGCAGCCGAGGCAUCGCACAACUCGGCCUACUACAACCCAGCCAACCCAGGUUCCAUGUAUGUGCCGGCCCCUCCGCCAUCCUUUGACCAGGCCAGUGCCAGUGCACCACCGGAGGGACCACCGCCACCGUACUCCGAGGGUUCCAAGAAGACCAACUGAGGACAGGCAGCGCUGGGCCUCCUCCCGUGCACAGUAGCCCCCCUUUCUCCUUUGCCUGGAUUAGUCUCUAACCUGUCUGCAAGUGCAGGGAUGACAUUCCCUUUCACACCCAUAAAAAUGGGGAAAUAAACAUGUGAGCGGAGAACACUUUAUCUCUUGUUAAUGUGCAGGGCAAAAGACGCUUGCGUAUAGUACUCCAGUUCUCGCCAAGUUCACUGUGGUGUUUGGCAUCAUACGUUGCACGACUGACAGUGUAGCGUGUAGUCUGUUGAAGUGGUUCUGGUCAUGUUUACAGAUUAUACUUGGCUGUAUGGUUUUAUGUAAUAAAGAUGUUUAUGAUAGUUUGACUGGA